rnacentral:rRNA from 1 species
UUGGAGGGCAAGUCUGGUGCCAGCAGCCGCGGUAAUUCCAGCUCCAAUAGCGUAUAUUAAAGUUGUUGCAGUUAAAAAGCUCGUAGUUGAAUUUCGAGACCGGUUUAUUGGUCGUGCUUUUGUACGUACUGGUAUUAUUGGUUUCUCCUUUCUGACGAACUAUAAUGCCAUUAAUUUGGUGUUAUGGGGAAUCAGGACUGUUACUUUGAAAAAAUUAGAGUGUUUAAAGCAGGCUCACGCUUGAAUACAUUAGCAUGGAAUAACGGAAUAGGACGUUUGGUUCUAUUUUGUUGGUUUCUAGGAUCGACGUAAUGAUUAAUAGGGAUAGUUGGGGGCAUUAGUAUUCAAUUGUCAGAGGUGAAAUUCUUGGAUUUAUUGAAGACUAACUACUGCGAAAGCAUUUGCCAAGGAUGUUUUCAUUAAUCAAGAACGAAAGUUAGGGGAUCGAAGACGAUCAGAUACCGUCGUAGUCUUAACCAUAAACUAUGCCGACUAGGGAUCGGAUGAUGUUAAUUUUUUAAUGACUCAUUCGGCGCCUUACGGGAAAC